AUUGGAAAAAUACGGUCCCCCAACCACGUGCCGUUGACCACGGAUGUACUGGCAGCGGCAUGGGGGACAACGGAAGGUCGGGCUUGCCCCGGCCUUUUUUGUU
rnacentral:sRNA from 1 species